GACGAACGCUGGCGGCGUGCCUAAUACAUGCAAGUAGAACGCACAGUUUAUACCGUAGCUUGCUACACCAUAGACUGUGAGUUGCGAACGGGUGAGUAACGCGUAGGUAACCUGCCUGGUAGCGGGGGAUAACUAUUGGAAACGAUAGCUAAUACCGCAUAAUAUUAAUUAUUGCAUGAUAAUUGAUUGAAAGGUGCAAAUGCAUCACUACCAGAUGGACCUGCGUUGUAUUAGCUAGUAGGUGAGGUAACGGCUCACCUAGGCGACGAUACAUAGCCGACCUGAGAGGGUGAUCGGCCACACUGGGACUGAGACACGGCCCAGACUCCUACGGGAGGCAGCAGUAGGGAAUCUUCGGCAAUGGACGAAAGUCUGACCGAGCAACGCCGCGUGAGUGAAGAAGGUUUUCGGAUCGUAAAGCUCNGUUGUAAGAGAAGAACGGGUGUGAGAGNGGAAAGUUCACACNGNGACGNU
rnacentral:rRNA from 1 species